rnacentral:rRNA from 1 species
UACCGGCAGCCCGAGUGAUGGCCGAUCUUAUUGGGCCUAAAGCGUCCGUAGCUGGCCGCGCAAGUCUAUCGGAAAAUCCACCCGCUCAACGGGUGGGCGUCCGGUAGAAACUGCGUGGCUUGGGACCGGAAGGCGCGACGGGUACGUCCGGGGUAGGAGUGAAAUCCUGUAAUCCUGGACGGACCGCCGAUGGCGAAAGCACGUCGCGAGAACGGAUCCGACAGUGAGGGACGAAAGCUAGGGUCUCGAACCGG